AGAAAAAUGAGGGGCCUCUGGGUCACCUCCCACCCGUGUUUAUUUUACCUUGUUGCUUCGGCGGGCCCGCCUUAACUGGCCGCCGGGGGGCUUACGCCCCCGGGCCCGCGCCCGCCGAAGACACCCUCGAACUCUGUCUGAAGAUUGUAGUCUGAGUGAAAAUAUAAAUUAUUUAAAACUUUCAACAACGGAUCUCUUGGUUCCGGCAUCGAUGAAGAACGCAGCGAAAUGCGAUACGUAAUGUGAAUUGCAAAUUCAGUGAAUCAUCGAGUCUUUGAACGCACAUUGCGCCCCCUGGUAUUCCGGGGGGCAUGCCUGUCCGAGCGUCAUUGCUGCCCUCAAGCACGGCUUGUGUGUUGGGCCCCGUCCUCCGAUCCCGGGGGACGGGCCCGAAAGGCAGCGGCGGCACCGCGUCCGGUCCUCGAGCGUAUGGGGCUUUGUCACCCGCUCUGUAGGCCCGGCCGGCGCUUGCCGAUCAACCCAAAUUUUUAUCCAGGUUGACCUCGGAUCAGGUAGGGAUACCCGCUGAACUUAAGCAUAUCAAUAAGCGGAGGAA
rnacentral:rRNA from 1 species